GGAGAGAUGGCCGAGUGGUUGAAGGCGCUCGACUCGAAAUCGAGUGUGCUGUGUUGAGCAGUACCGUGGGUUCGAAUCCCACUCUCUCCG
rnacentral:tRNA from 1 species